rfam:Triticum urartu cultivar G1812 contig199115, whole genome shotgun sequence.
CAUAUACUCCCUCCGUUCCAAAUUACUCGUCGUAAAAAUGGAUGUAUCUAGAACUAAAAUACAUUUAGAUACAUCCCUACCUGCGACAAGUAAUUCGGAACAGAGAGAGUACUAA